rnacentral:lncRNA from 1 species
CUGCCGACUAAAUGAACAGACAACAACCAAACCCAACAAAACAAGAUAUAAUACAACAAAGCAAGUCCCUUAUUCCAAGACUGGACAAAGCAACCCAAUAGGAGGAAAGGGGUCUCAAGAGCAAGUUGAAGAAUCAGAGAUACCCCUGGUCCACUGCUAAAAAUCUUACACCAAGCUAAGAAUCACAACAUUGAUGCAGAAGGCCUGGGCAGACCAAUGCAGUCUGUGUGCUUGCACUUUCAGUUUUUGGAAGCCCACAUGAGUUCUGCUUACUUCACUCAGUGGCCCAUGUUCUCCUGCUGUCCUCCACCCCCUCUGACUCCUAUAAUCUUUUCCCCACUUCCGUGAGGUUCCCCGAGCUCCUAGAGGAGGGACUUAAUGGAGACCUUAAAUUUUGACUUUCUACUCACAUAAUAUUUAGUUAUGGGUCUGUAUCUGCUCCCAUCUGCUGCUGGAAGAAGCUUCUCUGAUGAUGACUGGACAAAGCACUGGUCUAUUAGGAUAGCAAAAUAUCAUUAGGAAUCAUUUCAUUGAUUUUAUUAAAGACCUGAUGUAUUUGACUCUAACCUAUGUCUCUGGGCUAUCCAGUCAGAUUCAUACCUUUAAAGAAAGAGCUUUUAUUUUUUUUCCUUUGCAGAUCCCUUUAGCUCCUUGAUUACUUUCUCUAGCUCCUCCAUUGGGGGCCCUGUGAUCCAUCCAAU